rnacentral:tRNA from 1 species
CCUGGUGGCUCAGAUGGUAAAGCGUCUGCCUGCAGUGCAGAAGACCCGGGUUUCGAUCCCUGGGUCAGGA